CUCGAUUCCUUUUGAAAUUUUGAUUCCACUUAUGAUGAAUCUUUAAAAGCCCUUUUUCCUUCAUGAGAUAUGCAGAAAAUAAUCAAAGAAUGUCUUCAACCAUUUAGUUUUUUUCAGCUCUUUUUUGCAUAAACUUUCCAAUUUCAUUUUUAUUUACAUCAUAAAUUAAUGUAUAAGGGGGGUACGCCCAUCACACAAAGAUCAGAGGAGCUAUAUCCGUUUCACCUCCCGUGUUUUACAGCGUCCUGAGGAUGCUAACCGCUUGCGAACCAAUUAAAAUGCUGCAUCUUCUAGAUGAGCCGUCUGGCCAUGUGAUCAUAAUCAAUAAACCGGAAAUAGGUUGUCAUUUGAGAAUGAUAACCUUAUACCAAGCAUUUACUUCGCCAUGUAAUCUAUGUUGGUAGCGCAUUUCGAUGGUUCUAAAGCCAGUUUUCCACUUCAAUCCUAUCGUACCGAAACGUAGCGCGUUUCCUGACCACUAUAGAGUGGAACUAAUGACUUCGACACAAACGAAAAUGCUACAGUACGUUACGAUACGGUUGAAAUGUAAAAUUGCCUUAAAGUGCAUUUGAUAUGAAAUUUAUUAUUUUCUUAAAUGAAAGAACUCUUUAAACUGUAGUGUAACUUAUUUUUCAGUUUCUUGUUUUUAUGGUUUGUUCCCGAGAUAUUUCAAUUUGUUUGAUAUGUAAAUGAGUGUGAAUAUGUCCGCUAAUUUAUGACGUCAUGUUGGUUGCAAGCUGUUCGAAACGGUUGAAUAUCACUGCUUUCAUCCAAGAUGAUAAUUUCAAACUUCACUCACUUGUAAAAGUGAUGAAACACUGUAGAAAAACGUGAACAGAUAUCUACAGUUUUUAGAGUUAAUAGAUCUAUAACCUGCAGUGUAAGUUGAGCUUGCAACCAACGCGACGUCAUAAAUUAGCGGACAUAUUCACACUCAUUUCCAUAUCAAACAAAUUGAAAUAUCUCGGGAACAAACCA